rnacentral:rRNA from 1 species
CAGCAGUGGGGAAUUUUGGACAAUGGGCGCAAGCCUGAUCCAGCCAUUCCGCGUGAGUGAAGAAGGCCUUCGGGUUGUAAAGCUCUUUCGCAAGGGAAGAAAACUUAGGCUCUAACAUAGCCUGAGGUUGACGGUACCUUGAUAAGAAGCACCGGCUAACUACGUGCCAGCAGCCGCGGUAAUACGUAGGGUGCGAGCGUUAAUCGGAAUUACUGGGCGUAAAGCGUGCGCAGGCGGUUUUGUAAGUCAGAUGUGAAAUCCCCGAGCUCAACUUGGGAACUGCGUUUGAAACUACAAGACUAGAAUAUGUCAGAGGGGGGUAGAAUUCCACGUGUAGCAGUGAAAUGCGUAGAGAUGUGGAGGAAUACCAAUGGCGAAGGCAGCCCCCUGGGAUAAUAUUGACGCUCAUGCACGAAAGCGUGGGGAGCAAACAGGAUUAGA